AUAUACCCUACUGUCUGUAAUAUGAACAAACUAGUUUAGUGUGAUUAUAGGAUAGAAAAGAAACUACUCUUGUCAUGCAAGCGGCUAUUAGCAUCUCUGGAAUUAGCAAGUAGUUUUCAUCCCAGUCACAUCCAGCAGUACAGAAGUCAAAGCGAUCGCACAGCCUGAGAGGACAGCUGUUGGGAGACUCCUCGCUGUGCACACAAGGUUGAUAAUUGUUAAUUUGGCAAUAAUAUAUCCAAUUCAUUGCACAAGAUAGUCAUUCACGAACAAAAAUGAUCCAAUGACCAUAAAUUAGAAUCAUAAUAAAGGAAUAGUAACAGGUAAAAGAAAGAGAUGAUGAUGUUCUAUGACGCUUAAGGCCCGGUAACUACAUCGGUAUUAACAGGAAAAUUGCUUUAAUGAUUCAUGAUGAAAUUUUGUUGGGUUUAAUUUACAUCA